UACGUAGGGAGCAAGCGUUGUCCGGAAUCAUUGGGCGUAAAGCGCGCGUAGGUGGCUUCGUAAGUCCGUUGUGAAAGUCAAAGGCUCAACCUUUGAAAGCCGAUGGAUACUGUGAAGCUAGAGUACGGAAGAGGCGAGUGGAAUUCCAGGUGUAGCAGUGAAAUGCGUAGAGAUCUGGAGGAACACCGAUGGCGAAGGCAGCCCCCUGGGCUAACACUGACGCUCAUGCACGAAAGCGUGGGGAGCAAACAGG
rnacentral:rRNA from 1 species